GCAACAAUGGCUUAGUUGGUUGAGCAUGAGACUCUUGAUCUCAGGGUCGUGGGUUCGAAGCCCACAAUGGGCA